rnacentral:rRNA from 1 species
GACGAACGCUGGCGGCGUGCUUAACACAUGCAAGUCGAACGGAAAGGCCCUGCUUUUGUGGGGUGCUCGAGUGGCGAACGGGUGAGUAACACGUGAGUAACCUGCCCUUGACUUUGGGAUAACUUCAGGAAACUGGGGCUAAUACCGGAUAGGAGCUCCUGCUGCAUGGUGGGGGUUGGAAAGUUUCGGCGGUUGGGGAUGGACUCGCGGCUUAUCAGCUUGUUGGUGGGGUAGUGGCUUACCAAGGCUUUGACGGGUAGCCGGCCUGGGAGGGUGACCGGGCACGUGGGGCGUAUGAGACGCCGCGGGCGGCAGCGGGGGGCAGCGGGGGGGAGUAUUGCACAGUGGCCGCGCGCUGGUGCAGACACCGCCCGGGGGGGAAUGACGGCCUGCGGGUUGAAAACAGCUUUCGCCUGUGAAGAAGCGGGAGGGACGGUAAUGGGAAAAAAAGCACCGGCUAACUACGUG